rnacentral:rRNA from 1 species
AGUGAACGCUGGCGGUAGGCCUAACACAUGCAAGUCGAACGGCAGCACAGUAAGAGCUUGCUCUUACGGGUGGCGAGUGGCGGACGGGUGAGGAAUACAUCGGAAUCUACUUUUUCGUGGGGGAUAACGUAGGGAAACUUACGCUAAUACCGCAUACGACCUACGGGUGAAAGCAGGGGAUCUUCGGACCUUGCGCGAUUGAAUGAGCCGAUGUCGGAUUAGCUAGUUGGCGGGGUAAAGGCCCACCAAGGCGACGAUCCGUAGCUGGUCUGAGAGGAUGAUCAGCCACACUGGAACGGAGACACGGUCCAGACUCCUACGGGAGGCAGCAGUGGGGAAUAGUGGACAAUGGGCGCAAGCCGGAUCCAGCCAUACCGCGUGGGUGAAGAAGGCCUUCGGGUUGUAAAGCCCUUUUGUUGGGAAAGAAAAGCAGCAGGUUAAUACCCCGCUGUUCUGACGGUACCCAAAGAAUAAGCACCGGCUAACUUCGUG